AUUGAACGCUGGCGGCAGGCCUAACACAUGCAAGUCGAAUGGUAACAGGAAACAGCUUGCUGUUUCGCUGACGAGUGGCGGACGGGUGAGUAAUGUCUGGGCAACUGCCUGAUGGAGGGGGAUAACUACUGGAAACGGUAGCUAAUACCGCAUAACGUCGCAAGACCAAAGAGGGGGACCUUCGGGCCUCUUGCCAUCAGAUGUGCCCAGAUGGGAUUAGCUAGUAGGUGGGGUAACGGCUCACCUAGGCGACGAUCCCUAGCUGGUCUGAGAGGAUGACCAGGCACACUGGAACUGAGACACGGUCCAGACUCCUACGGGAGGCAGCAGUGGGGAAUAUUGCACAAUGGGCGCAAGCCUGAUGCAGCCAUGCCGCGUGUAUGAAGAAGGCCUUCGGGUUGUAAAGUACUUUCAGCGGGGAGGAAGGGAGUAAAGUUAAUACCUUUGCUCAUUGACGUUACCCGCAGAAGAAGCACCGGCUAACUCCGUG
rnacentral:rRNA from 1 species